rnacentral:rRNA from 1 species
UACACUCCUGCGGGAGGCAGCAGUGGGGAAUAUUGGACAAUGGGCGCAAGCCUGAUCCAGCCAUGCCGCGUGAGUGAUGAAGGCCCUAGGGUUGUAAAGCUCUUUCACCGGUGAAGAUAAUGACGGUAACCGGAGAAGAAGCCCCGGCUAACUUCGUGCCAGCAGCCGCGGUAAUACGAAGGGGGCUAGCGUUGUUCGGAUUUACUGGGCGUAAAGCGCACGUAGGCGGACUAUUAAGUCAGGGGUGAAAUCCCGGGGCUCAACCCCGGAACUGCCUUUGAUACUGGUAGUCUUGAGUUCGAGAGAGGUGAGUGGAAUUCCGAGUGUAUAGGUGAAAUUCGUAGAUAUUCGGAGGAACACCAGUGGCGAAGGCGGCUCACUGGCUCGAUACUGACGCUGAGGUGCGAAAGCGUGGGGAGCAAACAGGAUUAGAAACCCUAGUAGUCCCAUGA